rnacentral:tRNA from 1 species
GCGGGCAUCGUAUAAUGGCUACUACCUCAGCCUUCCAAGCUGAUGAUGCGGGUUCGAUUCCCGCUGCCCGCUCCA